rnacentral:lncRNA from 1 species
GUGGUAUUAAGAAAUUGGAGGAGCCUGUGACAUCACUAGGAAGGGGUUUGUGACAUCACUAGCUGCUAGGAGGUGGCAAGUAUUAGGUUGCUCUUUUGGUGGGAGAAGAGGCAUGAUGAGAAGAAGCCUGUCCCUUGUUGGAAGAAGCCAUAUUUUAACAUGGAGGCUGCCAUUCUAUGUAGCAGCCAUCUUAAGGCAAAGGAAAUCUAACAUUCCAGGCUUUUUGUUUUAUGGUUGUUCGGUGAAGGUCUCUUCUCCUGGAGUGACAAAGGGGCGAAGGUUGGGGCUAAACCUGGAUAUGGUGGGGCAGCAGUAGGUGGGGGCUUCUUCCCUCUGCAGCAGUGGCUGAUACCCCACCAUGAUGAGUUCCGUGACUAUAUGGUUGGGAAAUGCCCUCAUGCGUUCCUGCAAGAAAUUUUGAAAACAGCAAAACAGACACGGGCCUACCAUGGCCAGAAGACACGCAGAAAAAACUUGGAAUCAUGCGAAAUAAAGCUCCUGAGGGCCGGGGAUUUAAUUCAAUGGUACUGCUGCCUUGCAAGUGCAAGGUUCCAAACUUCUGUAAAGGAAACCACCAACAAAGCAAAGGAAAUCACCAACAGAAUAAAGAGAUAACUUCUAGAAGGGGGAAAAUUUGUCAGCUGUUUCUCAGACAAAGGACUAGUAUCUAGAAUAUGUAAAGAACUCAAAAAAAUUAGGUCCCUCCUGCCAGAGCCCACAAUAUUGAUUAUACCCCAA